CCUACGGGAGGCAGCAGUAGGGAAUAUUGCUCAAUGGGGGAAACCCUGAAGCAGCAACGCCGCGUGGAGGCUGAAGGUUUUCGGAUUGUAAACUCCUUUUGUUAGAGAAGAUAAUGACGGUAUCUAACGAAUAAGCACCGGCUAACUCCGUGCCAGCAGCCGCGGUAAUACGGAGGGUGCAAGCGUUACUCGGAAUCACUGGGCGGAAAGAGCGCGUAGGCGGGAUAGCAAGUCAGAUGUGAAAUCCUAUGGCUUAACCAUAGAACUUCAUUUGAAACUGUUAUUCUAGAGUAUGGGAGAGGUAGGUGGAAUUCUUGGUGUAGGGGUAAAAUCCGUAGAGAUCAAGAGGAAUACUCAUUGCGAAGGCGACCUGCUAGAACAUAACUGACGCUGAUGCGCGAAAGCGUGGGGAGCAAACAGGAUUAGAUACCCGAGUAGUC
rnacentral:rRNA from 1 species